UACGUAGGGGGCUAGCGUUGUCCGGAAUCAUUGGGCGUAAAGAGCGUGUAGGCGGUCCGGUAAGUCCGCUGUGAAAGUCGGGGGCUCAACCCUCGAAUGCCGGUGGAUACUGUCGGGCUAGAGUGCGGAAGAGGCGAGUGGAAUUCCUGGUGUAGCGGUGAAAUGCGCAGAUAUCAGGAAGAACACCAACGGCGAAGGCAGCUCGCUGGGACGGUACUGACGCUGAGACGCGAAAGCGUGGGGAGCAAACAGG
rnacentral:rRNA from 1 species